AAAACAUGUCUUUUUGAUAAAAAUUUAAAGUCAGGUCUGCUCACUGAAUAAUUUUAAAGAGCCGCAGUAUACUGACUGUGCAAAGGUAGCAUAAUCAAUAGUUUUUUAAUUGAAAACUGGAAUGAAAGAUUAGACGAAAAAUUAAUUUUCUUUAUUUUAAUAAAUUUAAUUUUAAAUUUAAGUGAAAAUGCUUAAAUAAAAUUAAAAGACGAGAAGACCCUAUAGAUUUUUAUUAUUGAAAUAAAUUUAUAAAUGUGAUUUAAUAAAAUAAUUUAAUUGGGGUGAUUUUAUAAUAUAAAUAACUUAAUUUCUUGAAACCAUAAAUAAUUGAAUUUUUGAUCUAAAAUUUUUAAAGAAAAGAUUAAAUUACCUUAGGGAUAACAGCGUAAUUUUAUUUAAGAGUUCGUAUCUAUAAUAAAGUUUGCGACCUCGAUGUUGAAUUAAGAUAAUAUAUUGGAGUAGAAAUUAAUAUAAUUAGUCUGUUCGACUAUUAAAUUCUUACGUGAUCUG
rnacentral:rRNA from 1 species